rnacentral:rRNA from 1 species
GAGAUUCCCCCAGUAGCGGCGAGCGAACGGGGAGGAGCCCAGAGCCUGAAUCAGCAUGUGUGUUAGUGGAAGCGUCUGGAAAGGCGCGCGAUACAGGGUGACAGCCCCGUACACAAAAGCGCAUGUGCUGUGAGCUCGAUGAGUAGGGCGGGACACGUGGUAUCCUGUCUGAAUAUGGGGGGACCAUCCUCCAAGGCUAAAUACUCCUGACUGACCGAUAGUGAACCAGUACCGUGAGGGAAAGGCGAAAAGAACCCCGGCGAGGGGAGUGAAAAAGAACCUGAAACCGUGUACGUACAAGCAGUGGGAGCACCCUUUGGGGUGUGACUGCGUACCUUUUGUAUAAUGGGUCAGCGACUUAUAUUCUGUAGCAAGGUUAACCGAAUAGGGGAGCCGGAGGGAAACCGAGUCUUAAUUGGGCGUUAAGUUGCAGGGUAUAGACCCGAAACCCGGUGAUCUAGCCAUGGGCAGGUUGAAGGUUGGGUAACACUAACUGGAGGACCGAACCGACUAAUGUUGAAAAAUUAGCGGAUGACCUGUGGCUGGGGGUGAAAGGCCAAUCAAACCGGGAGAUAGCUGGUUCUCCCCGAAAGCUAUUUAGGUAGCGCCUCGUGAAUUCAUCUCCGGGGGUAGAGCACUGUUUCGGCUAGGGGGCCAUCCCGGCUUACCAACCCGAUGCAAACUGCGAAUACCGGAGAAUGUUAUCACGGGAGACACACGGCGGGUGCUAACGUCCGUCGUGAAGAGGGAAACAACCCAGACCGCCAGCUAAGGUCCCAAAGUCAUGGUUAAGUGGGAAACGAUGUGGGAAGGCCCAGACAGCCAGGAUGUUGGCUUAGAAGCAGCCAUCAUUUAAAGAAAGCGUAAUAGCUCACUGGUCGAGUCGGCCUGCGCGGAAGAUGUAACGGGGCUAAACCAUGCACCGAAGCUGCGGCAGCGACGCUGAUGCGUUGUUGGGUAGGGGAGCGUUCUGUAAGCCUGCGAAGGUGGCCUGUGAGGGUUGCUGGAGGUAUCAGAAGUGCGAAUGCUGACAUAAGUAACGAUAAAGCGGGUGAAAAGCCCGCUCGCCGGAAGACCAAGGGUUCCUGUCCAACGUUAAUCGGGGCAGGGUGAGUCGACCCCUAAGGCGAGGCCGAAAGGCGUAGUCGAUGGGAAACGGGUUAAUAUUCCCGUACUUGGUGUUACUGCGAAGGGGGGACGGAGAAGGCUAUGUUGGCCGGGCGACGGUUGUCCCGGUUUAAGCGUGUAGGUGUGUGUUCCAGGUAAAUCCGGUUCACUUUAACACUGAGGCGUGAUGACGAGGCACUACGGUGCUGAAGCAACAAAUGCCCUGCUUCCAGGAAAAGCCUCUAAGCAUCAGGUAACAUCAAAUCGUACCCCAAACCGACACAGGUGGUCAGGUAGAGAAUACCAAGGCGCUUGAGAGAACUCGGGUGAAGGAACUAGGCAAAAUGGUGCCGUAACU